rnacentral:rRNA from 1 species
CAGAGGUCCCAAGCGUUGUUCGGAUUCACUGGGCGUAAAGGGUGCGUAGGCGGUCGGGUAAGUCUGGCGUGAAAUCUCCAAGCCUAACUUGGAAACUGCGUUGGAUACUAUCCGGCUCGAGGAAUGGAGGGGAGACUGGAAUACUUGGUGUAGCAGUGAAAUGCGUAGAUAUCAAGUGGAACACCAGUGGCGAAGGCGAGUCUCUGGACAUUUCCUGACGCUGAGGCACGAAAGCCAGGGGAGCAAACGGGAUUAGAUACCCCGGUAGUCCUGGCCCUAAACGGUGCGCAUUUGCUGUGAGUGGAAUCGACCCCGCUCGUGGCGAAGCUAACGCGUUAAGUGCGCCGCCUGGGAAAUACGGCCGCAAGGUUA